GCCUUUGUGGCGUAGUGGUUAGCAUGCUCGACACGUAUUCGAGAGGUCCGUGGUUCAAAUCCCUGCGAGGACA
rnacentral:tRNA from 1 species